UACGGGGGGAGCAAGCGUUGUUCGGAUUUACUGGGCGUAAAGGGCGCGUAGGCGGCGCAACAAGUCACUUGUGAAAUCUCCGGGCUUAACCCGGAGCGGUCAAGUGAUACUGUCGUGCUAGAGUGCGGAAGAGGCGAGUGGAAUUCCUGGUGUAGCGGUGAAAUGCGCAGAUAUCAGGAGGAACACCAAUGGCGAAGGCAGCUCGCUGGGACGGUACUGACGCUGAGGCGCGAAAAGCGUGGGGGAGCAAACAGG
rnacentral:rRNA from 1 species